AGAGUUUGAUCCUGGCUCAGACGAACGCUGGCGGCGUGCUUAACACAUGCAAGUCGAACGAUGAAGCCCUUCGGGGUGGAUUAGUGGCGAACGGGUGAGUAACACGUGGGCAAUCUGCCCUUCACUCUGGGACAAGCCCUGGAAACGGGGUCUAAUACCGGAUAAUACUCCUGCCUGCAUGGGCGGGGGUUAAAAGCUCCGGCGGUGAAGGAUGAGCCCGCGGCCUAUCAGCUUGUUGGUGGGGUAAUGGCCCACCAAGGCGACGACGGGUAGCCGGCCUGAGAGGGCGACCGGCCACACUGGGACUGAGACACGGCCCAGACUCCUACGGGAGGCAGCAGUGGGGAAUAUUGCACAAUGGGCGAAAGCCUGAUGCAGCGACGCCGCGUGAGGGAUGACGGCCUUCGGGUUGUAAACCUCUUUCAGCAGGGAAGAAGCGAAAGUGACGGUACCUGCAGAAGAAGCGCCGGCUAACUACGUGCCAGCAGCCGCGGUAAUACGUAGGGCGCAAGCGUUGUCCGGAAUUAUUGGGCGUAAAGAGCUCGUAGGCGGCUUGUCACGUCGGAUGUGAAAGCCCGAGGCUUAACCUCGGGUCUGCAUUCGAUACGGGCUAGCUAGAGUGUGGUAGGGGAGAUCGGAAUUCCUGGUGUAGCGGUGAAAUGCGCAGAUAUCAGGAGGAACACCGGUGGCGAAGGCGGAUCUCUGGGCCAUUACUGACGCUGAGGAGCGAAAGCGUGGGGAGCGAACAGGAUUAGAUACCCUGGUAGUCCACGCCGUAAACGUUGGGAACUAGGUGUUGGCGACAUUCCACGUCGUCGGUGCCGCAGCUAACGCAUUAAGUCCCCGCCUGGGGAGUACGGCCGCAAGGCUAAAACUCAAAGGAAUUGACGG
rnacentral:rRNA from 1 species